rnacentral:rRNA from 1 species
GGGUUGUGAGGUUAAGCGACUAAGCGUACACGGUGGAUGCCCUGGCAGUCAGAGGCGAUGAAGGACGUGCUAAUCUGCGAUAAGCGUCGGUAAGGUGAUAUGAACCGUUAUAACCGGCGAUUUCCGAAUGGGGAAACCCAGUGUGAUUCGUCACACUAUCAUUAACUGAAUCCAUAGGUUAAUGAGGCGAACCGGGGGAACUGAAACAUCUAAGUACCCCGAGGAAAAGAAAUCAACUGAGAUUCCCCCAGUAGCGGCGAGCGAACGGGGAGGAGCCCAGAGCCUGAAUCAGUGUGUGUGUUAGUGGAAGCGUCUGGAAAGGCGCGCGAUACAGGGUGACAGCCCCGUACACAAAAAUGCACAUGCUGUGAGCUCGAUGAGUAGGGCGGGACACGUGGUAUCCUGUCUGAAUAUGGGGGGACCAUCCUCCAAGGCUAAAUACUCCUGACUGACCGAUAGUGAACCAGUACCGUGAGGGAAAGGCGAAAAGAACCCCGGCGAGGGGAGUGAAAAAGAACCUGAAACCGUGUACGUACAAGCAGUGGGAGCACAGAGCAAUCUGUGUGACUGCGUACCUUUUGUAUAAUGGGUCAGCGACUUAUAUUCUGUAGCAAGGUUAACCGAAUAGGGGAGCCGAAGGGAAACCGAGUCUUAACUGGGCGUUAAGUUGCAGGGUAUAGACCCGAAACCCGGUGAUCUAGCCAUGGGCAGGUUGAAGGUUGGGUAACACUAACUGGAGGACCGAACCGACUAAUGUUGAAAAAUUAGCGGAUGACUUGUGGCUGGGGGUGAAAGGCCAAUCAAACCGGGAGAUAGCUGGUUCUCCCCGAAAGCUAUUUAGGUAGCGCCUCGUGAAUUCAUCUCCGGGGGUAGAGCACUGUUUCGGCAAGGGGGUCAUCCCGACUUACCAACCCGAUGCAAACUGCGAAUACCGGAGAAUGUUAUCACGGGAGACACACGGCGGGUGCUAACGUCCGUCGUGAAGAGGGAAACAACCCAGACCGCCAGCUAAGGUCCCAAAGUCAUGGUUAAGUGGGAAACGAUGUGGGAAGGCCCAGACAGCCAGGAUGUUGGCUUAGAAGCAGCCAUCAUUUAAAGAAAGCGUAAUAGCUCACUGGUCGAGUCGGCCUGCGCGGAAGAUGUAACGGGGCUAAACCAUGCACCGAAGCUGCGGCAGCGACGCUUAUGCGUUGUUGGGUAGGGGAGCGUUCUGUAAGCCUGUGAAGGUGUACUGUGAGGUAUGCUGGAGGUAUCAGAAGUGCGAAUGCUGACAUAAGUAACGAUAAAGCGGGUGAAAAGCCCGCUCGCCGGAAGACCAAGGGUUCCUGUCCAACGUUAAUCGGGGCAGGGUGAGUCGACCCCUAAGGCGAGGCCGAAAGGCGUAGUCGAUGGGAAACAGGUUAAUAUUCCUGUACUUGGUGUUACUGCGAAGGGGGGACGGAGAAGGCUAUGUUGGCCGGGCGACGGUUGUCCCGGUUUAAGCGUGUAGGCUGGUUUUCCAGGCAAAUCCGGAAAAUCAAGGCUGAGGCGUGAUGACGAGGCACUACGGUGCUGAAGCAACAAAUGCCCUGCUUCCAGGAAAAGCCUCUAAGCAUCAGGUAACAUCAAAUCGUACCCCAAACCGACACAGGUGGUCAGGUAGAGAAUACCAAGGCGCUUGAGAGAACUCGGGUGAAGGAACUAGGCAAAAUGGUGCCGUAACUUCGGGAGAAGGCACGCUGAUAUGUAGGUGAAGUCCCUCGCGGAUGGAGCUGAAAUCAGUCGAAGAUACCAGCUGGCUGCAACUGUUUAUUAAAAACACAGCACUGUGCAAACACGAAAGUGGACGUAUACGGUGUGACGCCUGCCCGGUGCCGGAAGGUUAAUUGAUGGGGUCAGCGCAAGCGAAGCUCUUGAUCGAAGCCCCGGUAAACGGCGGCCGUAACUAUAACGGUCCUAAGGUAGCGAAAUUCCUUGUCGGGUAAGUUCCGACCUGCACGAAUGGCGUAAUGAUGGCCAGGCUGUCUCCACCCGAGACUCAGUGAAAUUGAACUCGCUGUGAAGAUGCAGUGUACCCGCGGCAAGACGGAAAGACCCCGUGAACCUUUACUAUAGCUUGACACUGAACAUUGAGCCUUGAUGUGUAGGAUAGGUGGGAGGCUUGGAAGUGUGGACGCCAGUCUGCAUGGAGCCGACCUUGAAAUACCACCCUUUAAUGUUUGAUGUUCUAACGUUGACCCGUAAUCCGGGUUGCGGACAGUGUCUGGUGGGUAGUUUGACUGGGGCGGUCUCCUCCUAAAGAGUAACGGAGGAGCACGAAGGUUGGCUAAUCCUGGUCGGACAUCAGGAGGUUAGUGCAAUGGCAUAAGCCAGCUUGACUGCGAGCGUGACGGCGCGAGCAGGUGCGAAAGCAGGUCAUAGUGAUCCGGUGGUUCUGAAUGGAAGGGCCAUCGCUCAACGGAUAAAAGGUACUCCGGGGAUAACAGGCUGAUACCGCCCAAGAGUUCAUAUCGACGGCGGUGUUUGGCACCUCGAUGUCGGCUCAUCACAUCCUGGGGCUGAAGUAGGUCCCAAGGGUAUGGCUGUUCGCCAUUUAAAGUGGUACGCGAGCUGGGUUUAGAACGUCGUGAGACAGUUCGGUCCCUAUCUGCCGUGGGCGCUGGAGAACUGAGGGGGGCUGCUCCUAGUACGAGAGGACCGGAGUGGACGCAUCACUGGUGUUCGGGUUGUCAUGCCAAUGGCACUGCCCGGUAGCUAAAUGCGGAAGAGAUAAGUGCUGAAAGCAUCUAAGCACGAAACUUGCCCCGAGAUGAGUUCUCCCUGACUCCUUGAGAGUCCUGAAGGAACGUUGAAGACGACGACGUUGAUAGGCCGGGUGUGUAAGCGCAGCGAUGCGUUGAGCUAACCGGUACUAAUGAACCGUGAGGCUUAACCUUACAACGCCGAAGGUGUUU